GGAGGCAGCAAGUGGGAAUGUGAUCAUCGAGCGCAAGCCUGAAUGCAAGCCAUGGCCGCGUGUAUGGAGGAGGUCUUCGAUGGUAAGGUACUUUCAGUCGGGAAGAACGUCAUGUAGUUAUUACUCAUGCGAUUGACGUUACCAGCAGAAUGAAGCUACCGGCUAACUCGUGCAGCAGCCGCGGUAAUACGAUAGGGUGCAAAGCGUUAAUCGGAAAUUUACUGGCCGUAAAGCGCAGCGCAGGUCGGUCUGUCAAGUCAGGAAUGUGAUAAUCCCCGGGCUCAACCUUGGGAACUGCAUUCGUAAACUGGCAGGCUAGAGUCUGGUAGAGGGGGGUAGAAUUCCAGGUGUAGCGGUGAAAUGCGUAGAGAUCUGGAGGAAUACCGGUGGCGAAGGCGGCCCCCUGGACAAAGACUGACGCUCAGGUGCGAAAGCGUGGGGAGCAAACAGGAUUAGAUACCCUGGUAGUCCACGCCGUAAACGAUGUCGACUUGGAGGUUGUGUCCUUGAGGCGUGGCUUCCGGAGCUAACGCGUUAAGUCGACCGCCUGGGGAGUACGGCCGCAAGGUUAAAACUCAAAUGAAUUGACGGGGGCCCGCACAAGCGGUGGAGCAUGUGGUUUAAUUCGAUGCAACGCGAAGAACCUUACCUACUCUUGACAUCCAGAGAACUUAGCAGAGAUGGUUUGGUGCCUUCGGGAAUUGUGAGACAGGUGCUGCAUGGCUGUCGUCAGCUCGUGUUGUGAAAUGUUGGGUUAAGUCCCGCAACGAGCGCAACCCUUAUCCUUUGUUGCCAGCGGUUCGGCCGGGCACUCAAAGGAGACUGCCAGUGAUAAACUGGAGGAAGGUGGGGAUGACGUCAAGUCAUCAUGGCCCUUACGAGUAGGGCUACACACGUGCUACAAUGGCGCAUACAAAGAGAAGCCACCUCGCGAGAGCAAGCGGUCCUCAUAAAGUGCGUCGUAGUCCGGAUUGCAGUCUGCAACUCGACUCCAUGAAGUCGGAAUCGCUAGUAAUCGUAGAUCAGAAUUCUACGGUGAAUACGUUCCCGGGCCUGUACCACCCCGCCCUUCACCCCAGGGGAGUGGGUUGCAACAAGAAAGUAGGUAGCUUAACGUCUACAGGAGGCGCUUACCACUUUGAUCAGUGCGG
rnacentral:rRNA from 1 species